AUGGCCGGCGGUGGGGCGAAGGUGGCGUCGCACGGCGCGUUCCAGGGGGAGAACCCCCUGGACUACGCGCUGCCGCUCAUCAUCCUGCAGAUCUGCCUCGUCAUCGUCGUCACCAGAGGCCUCGCCUACCUCCUCCGCCCGCUCCGCCAGCCCCGGGUCAUCGCCGAGAUCAUCGGUCGUCGCCACCGCAUAAGAGGGUGGGUGGUUAGAGGGUGGGCGCCGAAGGAUGGACUGACGCAGGAGGCGGCUUGGGGGGAUGAGGGCGGGAUCCUGCUCGGCCCGUCGGCGCUUGGCCGGAGCACCACGUUCCUGGACGCCGUCUUCCCGGCGCGCAGCAUGGUGGUGCUGGACACGCUGGCCAACCUGGGGCUCCUCUUCUUCCUCUUCCUCGUCGGCCUCGAGCUCGACCUCAACGCCAUCCGCCGCACCGGCAAGAAGGCGCUGGCCAUCUCCCUCUCCGGCAUCGCCGUCCCUUUCGCCAUCGGCAUCGGCACCUCCUUCGCCUUCCGCGCCACCCUCCCCGGUCUCCAGGACUCGCCCAAGGCGCCCUUCCUGGUCUUCAUGGGCGUCGCGCUCUCCAUCACCGCCUUCCCGGUGCUCGCGCGCAUCCUCACCGAGCUCAAGCUCCUCACCACCGACCUCGGACGCAUGGCCAUGUCGGCCGCCGCGGUCGACGACGUCACGGCCUGGAUCCUGCUCGCGCUCGCCAUCGCGCUUUCGGGGACCGGCUCACCCAUCAUCUCGCUCUGGGUGCUCCUCACCGCCGUCGGCUUCGUCGCCGCCGUGUUCGUGCUCCUCCGCCCGCUGCUCGCGUGGAUGGCGCGGCGGUCCCCCGAAGGCGAGCCCGUCAAGGAGGUGUACAUCGUCGCCACGCUCGCCCUCGUUCUCGCCGCCGGCUUCGUCACCGACGUCAUCGGCAUCCACGCUCUGUUCGGCGCGUUCAUGGUCGGCAUCGUCGUCCCCAAGGACGGGCCGUUCGCCGGAGUGCUCCUCGAGAAGGUAGAGGAGCUCAUCUCCGGCCUCUUCCUCCCGCUUUACUUUGUCUCCAGUGGGCUCAAGACCAACGUGGCCACCAUCCGGGGAGCCAAGUCGUGGGGCCUCCUCGUGCUCGUCAUCCUCAACGCCUGCGUCGGCAAGAUCGGCGGCGCCGUCGGCACGUGCCUCCUCGUCAAGAUCCCAUUCCGGGAGGCCAUCACAAUCGGUUUCCUCAUGAACACCAAGGGGCUCGUCGAGCUCGUGGUGCUCAACAUCGGCAGGGACCGCAAGGUGCUCAACGACGAGGCCUUCGCCAUCAUGGUGCUCAUGGCCUUGUUUACAACUUUCAUCACCACGCCGAUUGUCAUGGCCGUCUACAAGCCGGCGCGCCCGUCGGCGUCGCUCCCGUACAAGCGCCGCACCGUCGGUGGGGACGACGUGGACGGCGAGCUUCGUGUGCUCGCCUGCUUCCACGGCUACCGCAACAUCCCUACGCUGCUCAACCUCGUCGAGCUCUCGCGGGGCACUCGCCGCCGCCUCGUCGUAUACGCCAUGCACCUCGUCGAGCUUUCCGAGCGGUCGUCGGCCAUCUCCAUGGUGCACCGAACGCGCCGCAACGCCUUGCCCUUCUUCAGCAACAACAGGUCGUCGUCGGAGACGACGACGGAGGUGGCGUUCGAGGCGUUCCAGCAGUUGAGCACCGUGAGGGUGCGGCCCAUGACGGCCAUCUCGGUCCUGGACACCAUCCACCGGGACAUCAUCGACAGCGCCGCCUCCAAGCGCGCCGCCGUGGUCAUCGUGCCGUACCACAAGACGCUCCAGGCCGACGGCUCCUUCCACUCGCUCGGCUCCGCCUACCACGCCGUCAACAAGCGCGUGCUCCGGGAGGCGCCGUGCUCCGUCGCCAUCCUCGUCGACCGCGGCCUCGGCGGUCACUCCCAGGUUGCCGCCCAGAACGUGGCCUUCACGGUCUCCGUGCUCUUCUUCGGCGGGCCGGACGACCGGGAGGCGCUGGCCUACGCGACGCGCAUGGCGGAGCACCCCGGCGUCGCCGUCACCAUGUCACGUUUCCAGCCCAACCGUGCUUUUCCCGAGGACGGCGAGGACGUCGCCGACGAAGCGGCGGUGGAGGCGUUCAAGGCCAGGGUCGCCGCCGCGGUGCAGGACGGGUCCGUGCGGUUCGAGGAGCGGGAGGCGCGCACCAAGGAGGAGGUGCUGGAGACCAUCGCCUCGCUGUCCAAGUGCAACGUGUUCGUGGUGGGGCGGAUACCGCCGACGGCCCCUCUGGUGGAGAACGCCGACGAGCUGGGCCCAGUGGGGAGCUACCUCGCGUCGGCGGAGUUCAAGACGUCGGCGUCGGUGCUGGUCGUCAAGAGGUACGACCCGGCGACGAACCCCAAGAGCAUGAGGUUCGACCCCAAGGCGAGGCCGCCGGUCGCGACCGACGUGGAUGACGAGGAGAUGGGCGGCGCCGGCGCCACGGUGGUGCCCGUGCCAUGGUCGCCGUCGCCGAGCGAACUUGCCUGA
rnacentral:rRNA from 1 species